rnacentral:lncRNA from 1 species
ACAAACACACACGGAUGCAUACAACCUAGAGAAGAAGGAGGAAGCAACACUGUAAGUUAGGAUGACAAAAUUCUUGCAACUACGAUUUUGAACAGAGAUAUAGUAAAUUUGCCCAAGUACAUUUUCAACUACUUAUGUGACAACAUCAAGGAACAAAAGACAUUUAUUUCGUAAGGAAGACUUCUGUCAUACAUUUUCUAUCAAAGCAAGAUCAUUGAACUGUUAGAAAACCUUCAAGCUAUUGAAGAUCCUGAAAUCAUUUUUGGGAAAACUUUUGAUGCCCAGACUUUGGUACAAAUGAAACUCAUAAAGACAGCGUAAGCCUCCAACAUUCCAUUUUGUAUCAGAAGAACACAUCCUAUCUUCAUUGAAGGAUUUCCUAUCAUCUCCAAUCAUGACAAUAAGGAAGUCAUCACGGAGUACAUUCUAAGUGAAAAGGCGGAAGGAAACUUCAAUCAGAGAUCAAAUUCCGAAUACUCCAGCUGAUGUCUACAGAGAACCCAUAAGAAGGAAUACUCCAGAAGAAGUGACUCAACAUCCUAUCAGAAGAUCUCCGGUCAAAACUUCAAAGAAGAUAGACAAAUCUCUUGAAGAAGAAGUAGAUGAAAUUUUGGAUUAAGUACCUAUUGAAUCACCUCAAACAAAUAGUAAGAAGGCUAAAGUAACGACUCCGCCCAAAGCUACUACACCUGAGAAAUCCAAGAGAAUAAAGGGUAAAAAGGUUCAGACUCAAACCAUACCCAUUAUUGUUGAAGAAGAAGAAGACGAAGAGGAAGAAAUGCCUCGUAGAAGAAGACAAAGGAUCUUUCAGACUACUGAACAAGCUCCAACAGAACCUGAAGCAAUAGACUCUGUAGGUGAAAAAGAAGUUACUGCAGAAGAAGAAAUACCACCAGAGUCUGAGAGAGUUGAUAUUGUACUUUUGCAUGAAGCAUCUCAGCUUCUAGAUGAAAGUCUGAAGAAUAGAGAACCUGCAAUUACUACUUGAUGCACACUUUCGUGUUUAAUUCGAUUAGCGUAGUUACGAAAUGGCAAGUUAGUAAGUAGAGUAUCGUAUCCACAUGGAUUGUCCUUUCGUCCGAACAAUUCUCGUUACUUAUUUUUGUAAGUUGACAUUAUAAAAGUUAGUUGCAAUUUUUAUCUGUUUGCAACAGAGCGAUUUUACCUGUUUUUGGUUGCAGAAAAGUGAGCAGUGAUUAUGAUUCUUUGAAUCCCCUUUGUAUAUUUAUUGUUGGAUAAUAUGUAAUCUAAAUGUCGCGUUAAUUUAUCUCUUGGUGACUGUAAAUUUUAAUUACCUA